CACGUAGGGUGCGAGCGUUGUCCGGAAUUAUUGGGCGUAAAGAGCUCGUAGGCGGCUCGUCGCGUCAGCUGUGAAAACCCGCGGCUUAACCGUGGGCUUGCAGCUGAUACGGGCGGGCUAGAGUUCGGUAGGGGAGACUGGAAUUCCUGGUGUAGCGGUGAAAUGCGCAGAUAUCAGGAGGAACACCGGUGGCGAAGGCGGGUCUCUGGGCCGAUACUGACGCUGAGGAGCGAAAGCGUGGGGAGCGAACAGG
rnacentral:rRNA from 1 species